rnacentral:rRNA from 1 species
UACGAAGGGGGCUAGCGUUGCUCGGAAUCACUGGGCGUAAAGGGUGCGUAGGCGGGUCUUUAAGUCAGGGGUGAAUCCUGGAGCUCAACUCCAGAACUGCCUUUGAUACUGAGGAUCUUGAGUUCGGGAGAGGUGAGUGGAACUGCGAGUGUAGAGGUGAAAUUCGUAGAUAUUCGCAAGAACACCAGUGGCGAAGGCGGCUCACUGGCCCGAUACUGACGCUGAGGCACGAAAGCGUGGGGAGCAACAGG